AUGUGUUGCGGAAACUUAACACAUCAUGUGGUUGCCAUAUGUGGCUUAGCAAAGGAUUGCCGUGUGCUUGUAGGCUGGAAAACUACACACGUACAGGGCGUAUAAUACAACUCGACGAGAUAGAUGUAUUCUGGCGUAAGCUUGACUUGCUCCCUUGUAAACUGGUAGACGAGGAGGUCGAUAUUGUAGCAGAGCUCAAUAAUGUGCGGCAACAUUUAGAGGCGCAGUCC
rnacentral:lncRNA from 1 species